rnacentral:rRNA from 1 species
GUGCCAGCAGCCGCGGUAAUACGGAAGGUCCGGGCGUUAUCCGGAUUUAUUGGGUUUAAAGGGAGCGCAGGCUGGAGUUUAAGCGUGACGUGAAAUGUGGCGGCUCAACCGCCGAACUGCGUCGCGAACUGGAUUCCUUGAGUGAGUUCGACGUGGACGGAAUUCGUGGUGUAGCGGUGAAAUGCUUAGAUAUCACGAAGAACCCCGAUUGCGAAGGCAGUCCACGAGGCCUUAACUGACGCUAAAGCUCGAAGGUGCGGGUAUCGAACAGGAUUAGAUACCCUGGUAGUCCGCACGGUAAACGAUGGAUGCCCGCUGUCGGCGAUACACGGUCGGCGGCCAAGCGAAAGCGUUAAGCAUCCCACCUGGGGAGUACGCCGGCAACGGUGAAACUCAAAGGAAUUGACGGGGGCCCGCACAAGCGGAGGAACAUGUGGUUUAAUUCGAUGAUACGCGAGGAACCUUACCCGGGCUUGAACUGCAGUGGAAGGAUUCAGAGAUGAUGACGCCCUUCGGGGUCGCUGUGGAGGUGCUGCAUGGUUGUCGUCAGCUCGUGCCGUGAGGUGUCGGCUUAAGUGCCAUAACGAGCGCAACCCCUGCCGUCAGUUGCCAUCAGGUGAUGCUGGGCACUCUGUCGGGACUGCCACCGUAAGGUGUGAGGAAGGUGGGGAUGACGUCAAAUCAGCACGGCCCUUACGUCCGGGGCUACACACGUGUUACAAUGGGUGGUACAGAGAGUAGGGUGCCGGCAACGUCGCUCCAAUCUUCAAAGCCAUCCUCAGUUCGGAUUGGGGUCUGCAACCCGACCCCAUGAAGCUGGAUUCGCUAGUAAUCGCGCAUCAGCCAUGGCGCGGUGAAUACGUUCCCGGGCCUUGUACACACCGCCCGU